GCCGGGAACUACAGCCCAGCUUAAAACCCAAAGGACUUGACGGUGCCCCAUCCCCCUAGAGGAGCCUGUUCUACAAUCGAUAACCCCCGAUCAACCUCACCCCUUCUUGAAAUAUCAGCCUGUAUACCUCCGUCGCAAGCCCGUCAUGUGAAUGCAUUCAACGGACCCAACGAUUCUACGUCAUCACCACGUCAGGUCAAGGUGCAGCUUAUGAAGCGGAAUGAAAUGGGCUACAAUUUCUACCUUAGAACAUACGGAACACUAUGUGCAAUAUAGUCACAAGGCGGAUUUAGCAGUAAAAAGAAAAUAGAGAGUUCUUUUUAAUUAGGCAAUGAGGCGCGUACACACCGCCCGUCACCCUCUUCAAACGACACUUACAAUAAUGUCACUAACUUCUCCCUGUCCUAAAGAAGAGGCAAGUCGUAACACGGUAAGCGUACUGGAAGGUGUGCUUGGAACAACAAAAUGUAACUUAACAAAAGUAUCUUGCUUACACCAAGAAUAUGUCCGUAAAACUCCGACCAUUUUGAGCUCAAAAUCUAGCCCUACUAACCCUACGACCCAAAUAACAACACACCCCUAACAAAUACUAUAAAACAUUUUAUUAACUUAGUAUAGGCGAUCAAAAAGUUUCUAGGAG
rnacentral:rRNA from 1 species